UGCCAGCAGCCGCGGUAAGACGGAGGGUGCUAGCGUUGUUCGGAUUUACUGGGCGUAAAGGGCGCGUAGGCGGCCUAUCAAGUUGGGUGUGAAAGCCCGGGGCUCAACCCCGGAACUGCACUCAAAACUGGUAGGCUCGAGGACGAGAGAGGAAAGUGGAAUACCCAGUGUAGAGGUGAAAUUCGUAGAUAUUGGGUGGAACACCGGUGGCGAAAGCGGCUUUCUGGACCGAUACUGACGCUGAGACGCGAAAGCGUGGGGAGCAAACAGGAUUAGAUA
rnacentral:rRNA from 1 species